rnacentral:tRNA from 2 species
GCCGCGGUGGUGGAAUUUGGUAGACACGCUAGACUCAAAAUCUGGUGAGCAUUAGCUCGUGCCGGUUCAAGUCCGGCCCGCGGUACCA